rnacentral:rRNA from 1 species
GGGAGCGGCAGACGGGUGAGUAACGCGUGGGAAUCUACCCAUCUCUACGGAGUAACGCAUGGAAACGUGCGCUAAUACCGUAUACGCCCUUAGGGGGAAAGAUUUAUCGGAGAUGGAUGAGCCCGCGUUGGAUUAGCUAGUUGGUGGGGUAAAGGCCUACCAAGGCGACGAUCCAUAGCUGGUCUGAGAGGAUGAUCAGCCACAUUGGGACUGAGACACGGCCCAAACUCCUACGGGAGGCAGCAGUGGGGAAUAUUGGACAAUGGGCGCAAGCCUGAUCCAGCCAUGCCGCGUGAGUGAUGAAGGCCUUAGGGUUGUAAAGCUCUUUCACCGGAGAAGAUAAUGACGGUAUCCGGAGAUGAAGCCCCGGCUAACUUCGUGCCAGCAGCCGCGGUAAUACGAAGGGGGCUAGCGUUGUUCGGAAUUACUGGGCGUAAAGCGCACGUAGGCGGAUCGAUCAGUCAGGGGUGAAAUCCCAGAGCUCAACUCUGGAACUGCCUUUGAUACUGUCGGUCUAGAGUAUGGAAGAGGUGAGUGGAAUUCCGAGUGUAGAGGUGAAAUUCGUAGAUAUUCGGAGGAACACCAGUGGCGAAGGCGGCUCACUGGUCCAUUACUGACGCUGAGGUGCGAAAGCGUGGGGAGCAAACAGGGAUUAGAUACCCUGGUAGUCCACGCCGUAAACGAUG